CGGGGGAGCAAGCGUUGUUCGGAUUUACUGGGCGUAAAGGGCGCGUAGGCGGCCACCGCAAGUCGACUGUGAAAUCUCUGGGCUUAACCCAGAACGGUCAGCCGAUACUGCGGGGCUAGAGUGCAGAAGGGGCAACUGGAAUUCUCGGUGUAGCGGUGAAAUGCGUAGAUAUCGAGAGGAACACCUGCGGCGAAGGCGGGUUGCUGGGCUGGCACUGACGCUGAGGCGCGAAAGCUAGGGGAGCGAACGGGAUUAGAUACCCCGGUAGUCCUAGCCUUAAACGAUGAAUGCUUGGUGUCUGGGGUUUUAUAGUCCCCGGGUGCCGUCGCUAACGCUUUAAGCAUUCCGCCUGGGGAGUACGGUCGCAAGACUG
rnacentral:rRNA from 1 species